AACGAACGCUGGCGGCAUGCCUAACACAUGCAAGUCGAACGAGACCUUCGGGUCUAGUGGCGCACGGGUGCGUAACGCGUGGGAACCUGCCUUUUGGUUCGGAAUAACAGUGAGAAAUUACUGCUAAUACCGGAUAAUGUCUUCGGACCAAAGAUUUAUCGCCAUUUAGAUGGGCCCGCGUAAGAUUAGCUAGUUGGUGGGGUAAAGGCCUACCAAGGCGACGAUCUUUAGUUC
rnacentral:rRNA from 1 species